AUUGAACGCUGGCGGCAGGCCUAACACAUGCAAGUCGAACGAGUGGCGGACGGGUGAGUAAUGUCUGGGAAACUGCCUGAUGGAGGGGGAUAACUACUGGAAACGGUCGCUAAUACCGCAUACCAUCGGAUGUGCCCAGAUGGGAUUAGCUAGUAGGUGGGGUAAAGGCUCACCUAGGCGACGGUCCCUAGCUGGUCUGCGAGGAUGACGAGCCACACUGGAAAUUAGACACGGUCCAGACUCCUACGGGAGGCAGCAGUGGGGAAUAUUGCACAAUGGGCGAAAGCCUGAUGCAGCCAUGCCGCGUGUAUGAAGAAGGCCUUCGGGUUGUAAAGUACUGUCAGCGGGGAGGCGGUACCCGCAGAAGAAGCACCGGCUAACUCCGUGCCAGCAGCCGCGGUAAUAC
rnacentral:rRNA from 1 species